rnacentral:rRNA from 1 species
AACAGGGAUUGCCCCAGUAACGGCGAGUGAAGCGGCAACAGCUCAAAUUUGAAAUCUGGCCCCAGGCCCGAAUUGUAAUUUGUAGAGGAUGCUUCGGACGCGGCGCCUUCCAAGUCCCCUGGAACGGGGCGCCUUAGAGGGUGAGAGCCCCGUACGGUUGGACGCCAAGUCUGUGUGAAGCUCCUUCGACGAGUCGAGUAGUUUGGGAAUGCUGCUCAAAAUGGGAGGUAGACCCCUUCUAAAGCUAAAUACCGGCCAGAGACCGAUAGCGCACAAGUAGAGUGAUCGAAAGAUGAAAAGCACUUUGAAAAGAGGGUUAAAUAGCACGUGAAAUUGUUGAAAGGGAAGCGCUUGUGACCAGACUUGCGCCGGGGCGAUCAUCUAGUGUUCUCACUGGUGCACUCGCCUCGGUUCAGGCCAGCGUCGGUUCGGACGGGGGGACAAAGACUUUGGGAAUGUGGCUCCCCCGGGAGUGUUAUAGCCCUUUGUGCAAUGCCCCCGACCGGACCGAGGUUCGCGCUCUGCAAGGACGCUGGCAUAAUGGUCAUCAGCGACCCGUCUUGAAACACGGACCAAGGAGUCGAGGUUCUGCGCGAGUGUUUGGGUGUCAAACCCGCACGCGUAAUGAAAGUGAACGUAGGUGGGAGCUUCGGCGCACCACCGACCGAUCCUGAUGUUCUCGGAUGGAUUUGAGUAAGAGCGUUGGGCCUCGGACCCGAAAGAUGGUGAACUAUGCUUGGAUAGGGUGAAGCCAGAGGAAACUCUGGUGGAGGCUCGCAGCGGUUCUGACGUGCAAAUCGAUCGUCAAAUCUGAGCAUGG